UUAAAAAAAAAAAACCAAAAAACAUUACUUUCCAGUUUAGAAGAAUCAUUUCCAAGUCAGAAGAGCCUUAAAUGGGAUUAAGUGGCUUGCCCAGGGCACACAACUAAGAACUGUCAGAAGAUCUAUUUGAACCAGGACCUCCCUUCUCCAGGCCUGACUCUCCAUCCACUGAGCCAUCUAGUAGUCCCAAGUUAACUCACUUCUAUUAGAACGUUAAGGAAAAGGUCAUCAUCUUUUUUUCUGGUGCCUGAAUUCUUCUGCGAUCCUCAGCUUUCAGUUCUCCACCAGGAUCUUGUUUUCCUCUAACCAUACCACAAGGCUCUCUUUCCCACAAGGCUCAGGACCUUCCUUCUCAAACAGCAGUUCCUUUUGGAGUGAGAAUACUUUCUUUUCUGGUUUGGUGAUCUAUAUAAAUGGAUGUCAUAUAAAUGGAUGAUGGGGCUCACGCGUGAUCGGCGGUGUCAUUUCAAUUUUGAAACACGUGAUCAGCAGGAUUCCAAAUAUACCACAACUUACCAAAAUUCUUUCUCAAAAGGAAGAAAAAGAAACCCCACAUCAAUGAGGAGCAAAUCUACAGCAAGUC